AUGCAAUACACUUUAUUCAGCUGACUGGGCGGGGCUUAGUUUAAUCGAUAAAUUGGCGUCAUAUGAGUCAUUUGGGUACCCAAAAUGCUUUUAGUAAUGCGCAAAAUGUCCAAUGCUUAGAAUAACUUUAGUUUUAACAAUGAUGUCAUGAUAAUUUUAGAAUAGUCCCAAUAUCGAGAUAUCUAAUUUUAGAAACGAAAAUAUUCCAGAAGUAUCACUUAUAAAUACUACCUUAAAUGACCAAUUCAAAUCAAAACUUUGUUACAACCUAAAGUUGUUUAUCUGCCAUAUACCAAAUACUACAUUUGACAAGGGAAAAUGGCACUUCAGGCAGAAGUUAAUGUGAUGUCUGAUUGGAGUUCGAAAUUUUAUACGUCUAGACAGGAUGCGCAUGAGUUUCAUUACCAAAAUGAAUGCCAUUUUGCAAAGAUAUCUGACAUUAAGAUUAUUGGAUCAUAUCGCAUAAUUUAUGUGUUGGUACGAGUUUGUUACUGUGGACAGAAAACUGAUAAAAGACGUAUACUUAAGAAAAGAAUUAUAAACAUUGGAGACUUUAUUGAUGGUGUAGAAAUACACCUUGAUCAGAGGUGUCAUUAUGACCCAAAGCGUUUGCCUGACGGAAGAGUUAAGUUGGACAAAAUUUGUUAUUGUCCUAAACAAAUUGGACACCAUUAAAACAAAAGGGUGAAUGAACGGCCAAUAUAUCAUAUGAUUUUAAUCAACAAUGUGUUGGAUAAAGCAUCAAACAAACAAACCUGAAACAUUUUAAUCAGCAUUGUGUUGGACGCAGCCUACAUACCUGAUGCAUAGAUAUGUGGAACUACAGCAACUUCGAACAAUUUUGAUACUGGGCAUAGCUUAUGUAUUACAUAAAUAAACCGGAGAAACUUUCUCGUGGGAUUAAGCAAGCCGGUGUUUAGGAAAAUAAAAAAAAUAUUUGCAUGACAAUUUCAUUUUUUGUUUACAGUUAAUCGUGUUGUAAACAUGUUUUAUUUGCAUAUUUUGUUACAUUUAGGUUAUUCUUCCAUGUCAUAUUCAGUCAUGUCUCUGUAAAAACAUUAUAUGUAAUAAAGUUAUGAUGUUGUUUGCCUACAAAAUGUGUUAUUGUUCCUAUGCCAAUGAUUUAUCUUACAUAUAUAGAAAUUUAAGUUCAUUUUGGAGUUUUGGAAGUUGUUGUCAUGUCAGGAUUUUAUGGUUCCUUUAUUGGUGUGAAUGUGUUUCAUCCAAUACUUAUCUUUAUUAUAAAUUACAGUUAAUAAAAUAAACGCAUGUAUUAAAAAGACAGAGACUUCAAAGAUUGACUUAUAACACAGACACCUAUUGUGAAGCUAAAUGAUGAUAAGGUAUCUAUAUUUAUACAAGUCUUUAUUCAGGCCCCCGCGGCUAUUUCAAUAUUGAUUUUGUAUCACUGAAAAGAAACACAGAUAAACGUCUCAAACUUAUCUCUUUUCCUGCAAGCUACAUUAACUAGAGGCGUUAAGUCACCGGAAAUAUACUGAACUGGCUCUUCCUCUAUAUUUCCACAUACGAUGCCACCGCUUGGAUGUUUUGAAAUAAGUUCACGUCAUCUACUUUGGAUUGGCAACAUUACCUUUUAAUACUGGACAACUUGGUCAUUCUUUUAACGGCGUAAUGACCAGAUACAGAGGACAUUUGUUUAUUUCAGUGUAACACCGAAAUAUUUCUACAUGUGAACACUAGAUGCAAUAUUAUCAUGGGUGGCAGAGCCAUGAGUGAAAAUGAAAAGUAUAGUGUUGAUGAGUGAACGAUAUUUUGAUUUUACAAGUAAAACAAACAAAUGAUCUUUUUAUUUCAUGUUUUUAUACAAUUUACAAGUUUAUAGUUCUUACCAGUGAACAAUAUAUUUGAUUUUUCACUGUGGAAAUACCAAAUAUGGUUCACUCUGACAAUAUGAUCAUUCGAUUCCCCGUCAAUUCAAAUAAGAUUAAUCUAAAUAUGAUCUUUAUGAGUGGUAGUCAAGCUUCGUUUAUCAUAAACAGAUUAACUAAAUUACUUUAUUCUAUUACAUAAAUAUAUGCAGUACAGAACUCUUUUCUAAUCAUUUUUCCCAUGCAUAGAUGCAGUGUUUUUCAAGUCCGUUAGUAUGUAUAUAUAUAGCAGUUAUUUUAGAGCAAUUAAUAAGUUAUUCAAUGCUAAACAUUAAAAUCUAACAUGAACUUAAUUACUUGGACAUCAUCCUAUCGCUUUUAAUGGCCGAGAAUGUAAAACAGUGAGGAGUUUCAUUAAAAUCUACAUUGUAGAAAAAGUUAUUUUCGCGAAAAAGUUAUUAAAGUUAUGAUUUUUACUACAGACUGUCAUUAUGAAAAUUUUCGUCAGGCCCAAAAAAUGCAAAUUCGACCCUAUCUUUUUUAUUUGCUGAGUUAUCGAUGUAUAUUCUGACCUUUUGAAAAAUCAGGGUUUAAUGAAAUUUUACAUUGUAGAAAUGAAUCCAGUCAGAAGAUGCAGAACUACCUUAAACACGUUAAAAUCUAAAUAUUUACUCUUCAAGGCGUCUCUGACUAAAUUGUAUAAAAACAUGUUCAGGUACAUUGUGUAUGUAUCAAAUCCUUUAUAUGUCGUUUUUUAUUGCAUGCAAUUGUCUCAGCGUGGUUGAAUACAAUGUCCCUUUAGAUGGUCCAAUGCAUCAGCCAUUUGAAAUAAUUCAAAUAUUAGUAUGUACAUUUCUGAAGAAAAGAAACUGCAAUUUUGAUUUCAUAUGUAAACUGGUUUAAAGCCUCGUAUUGUUCCUUUGCCUAACAAAGUACAAACUCAUUUACUUCAUUUUGCAUGUACAAACGUGACAGUAUAAAAUAUGUUUAUACAUAAAGGUACCUUCCAUCGAGUUGAAGCCUUCGUUGCAUGCGUGAUAAGUAUAAUAACCUCAAAAACCUAACCAUUUGUUUCCUUUUUGGAAUUUCCGACACUUGAAGAAAGAUGGUGUUCUUCUAGUUGAAAUGAACUAGCAAUUAAAAGCAAAUAUUGGAUACAUAAUUUUCUCUUUGUAUACUAAGUAGUUAAAAUUUCUGUUAUAAAAUUGUUAUGUUUGAAUAAUUUGGUGUAAUAAUGUUUGCCAUGAAGCAAUCUAAAUAAUUCCUUUGUAACUAUAUUACAUGUGUACAGAAUAAACUGCGAUUAUUCUAUUUUAAUACAAAGGUAUUGUUUUGUAUCUUUCGUAACAAAUUAUUUAGAAAUACAAAAUAGUAAUCGGGGCCUCCAUGACCGAGUGGUUAAGUUCACUGACUUCAAUUCACUUGCUCUUCAUCUCCGUAGACGUCUGUCAGUGUCAUCAUGUGAAAUAGCUAUACAGAUGACUUUCAGAACGUCGAUGUUUUUCCCUGCGUGCCCACUCGUGACUGCGGGGUGUUUCUUUUCAUCAUUACAGCUGGAAACGCAACACAUUACAUACAGUUGAGUCUGCAUGACUUUAAACUAACAUACUAAAUCAAACUUAAUUAUUAAUAAUGUUUUAUGGUUCCUUUAUUGAUGUGAAAUUCUUCAUGCGUAAUAUAAUCAGUUAUAAUGAUGUCUUUCUAUGACAUGUAUCAUUCAGUAUAAACUGUUCAAAUUAUUACACAUAUGCUUUAUUUAAAACCAAAUAAAUAUCCAAAUUAUGUUUAUGGUGUAUAGAAAACUUUAUUAGAAGAAUACAGAACAUCAUGUUUGUACUUGUUACUUUUUUAAACUAAACCUGGGAUCCUUACCAAGAACAGGGCGGAGCUUCUUGAACUUUGCUCCUCCCAUAUAAGCUAUACUUAUGCUGGUCUGACAAAAACAACUCAUAAUAAACCUGAGGUAGAUUUUCGAAAGGAAGCAUUAAUAGGUAUAUCUGAGCCUACAGUUGUUUUAAAAAUGUCUGAUGUAAAUGUAGCUGAGGAUAAACACAUAUUUGAAACGAACGACGAACAUUGGGAAGAUUAUUGCUGUAGUGAUAGAGAAAAUGGGAAUUUAAUACUGAUUUGCUAUUGCGGAGUUUUUAACUGGUAUGAUCCUAGACGAAUAAGAGGACGCAAAUUUCAUGUUUCACCGAAUUGUUGCCUUGUGAAAGUUGGAAACAAAUUCAAAGUUCAAUGCUAUUGUCCAAGAGACCGACCAACUAAUAGACGCUAAAGAAGAAAAAUGAACUUAGAGAACCGUAUCCAGGCAAAGUCAACAUCGAUGUCUACAUCAAAAGAAAUAAUAAAAGUCUCAAUGUUUACUGAGAAAACAAGUUAUAUAGGCUAAGUGAUCUGUGUUAUAAGAUCUAUUUCAACUUGUCAUUUGAUAAAUAAAAUAAAACGUCAAAUGCAAUAUAUGUAUUUGCGAAUCAAUAUUGAAUUAAAGUUACUAGAACUUUUGUAUAUAUCUCUGCUCAUAUUUCAGUUACAGAUAAAAAAGAAUCUUCUGAUCUUUUAAUUCAGUGUGUAUUUCAUCAGAUAAAGAAUCAAAUGUAUUUGAAUAUACGUAUGUCUGGUCAUAAAUAAAUAUUAUAAACUUAAUGUAGUUGUGUUGUGCUGUGAUAUGUUUAACAUUGGUUUAUCAUACCUGCACAGUGGACCAAGAAAAUGUUAAAAUCCCUCUUAGACAUUUAUUAUAGAAAGAAACUCAACCAUUAUGUAUAGUGACUGUGAAAAUUCCCUUUACGAACAAAUAUUUAUUGAAAACAAUCUCUAAUGAAAAUUCAACAUGAUUGAGAAUUAUACUCAGCAAAGACUUAGUACAGACUUAAAUUAUACGAAUAUCUCACUAGAAUAGUGUAAACUAUAGAGACGUUAAAAUUCUUAAAUAAGAAAACCGGCUAGAUUUAAUCAUUGGUUCUAGAGUAUCUGCCGCUGAUGGAGUCAAAAUUUACUAUUUUGGCCUUUUCAGCUAUAUAGAUCUGCAAUUUAUGUUUUGGUUUGAUACAAACUUGCAAAGAUGAUCUCUUGAUGAUAUAUAUGUUAAGUUGAAACUGUGUAACGUUGGGUUAAAAACUAAUUCAUCUGGUCAAAUAAAAGGAAACACCCUAGAGACAUUUAUGAUCCUGUCUUCACGAAACUUGGUCAGAAUGUUUAUCUUGAUACAUUCUGUGUUCAGUUUAAAACUGGAUUACGUUGGGUCAGAAACAAGCUCACCCGGUCCAAUCUAAGAAAAGGCUUGUUAUCACACUUGAGGCAACAUUUAUGAUUUUCCCAGAGACUCUGAUUAUGAAAAUUUGCGUUGGAUUCAAAUUGUUGCAACCAGUCUAACAAAAACAAUCAAGCACAUGACCCUAUCUUCUUCAUUUGCUGGAUUUUCGAUGUAUAUUCUGAAUAUUGAUAAAAUUCUACAUUUUAUAAAAUGUGCAGAGUUACCUUAUUAUCAAUAAAAAUUACCUCAGGCGAAAAAAGGACAGUGGCUCUUCCAUCCAGUUUCUACCAUGUAACUGAUUCCUUAAACAACGUAUUUCAAAAUAGGCUUUUUGUGUAUAUAUUUUUGCAAUCAAUUACUGUAUAGUUCAAAAUGACUCAAAGUAUAAUGCAUUACCCUAUGUCGAUUAUAACGUAUAUAUUUGACUCAGACUUGAUUAUUAAAAUACACCAGCCUCUAUAAGCUAUAUACUAAAAGGUUUUAUCACCAUUAAUCCUUUGAAUGAAAAUUGUUAAUUCGCUUAAAGGCUAAAGCUUCACUUCAUAUGACCAACUUAAUCCUACAAUAUGGAAUCGCAAGCGUAUAUGGCUUUGUGAACUAUAUACAAACCACAACAAUAUGAUAUUAAAAUCGAAAAGAACUGAUCGUAGUGUUAACCAAAACGUUAACUGAAUGGACGUUCUUUAUUCGAAGACUUUUAGUAUUUGGCUACAAACGGCUUUAAAAGAUUUAUUGUAAAUUCCCGAAAAUCUUAUACCUAAACAGCAGUUUUCUUAGCACGUGUACUCUCAACAUAUUUUAUCUGUCUGUGUUAUUCAAACAAUUUUUCCAAGUUUCCGAGGAUACGUUCAAUCGUUAAAAUUGAUAUGACGCCAUAUGUGUCUCUUUAAAAACUUGGGUACCCAAAAUGUUUCAGGCGGCGUGUCAAAUGGCAAAUGCUUACAAUAUCUUUAGUUUUAAAGAGUUAUCCCAUUAUCAAGGUAUUGAAGUUUAGAACAUCCACGCUUUCAAGAGAUAUCACUGAUAAAAAUAAUCCGUAGGACUACUUUGUUGCCAAAUUUUAUUUGUUUGACAUUUUCUUGAUUUUAUAUUUGAAGAAAAAAAAACAACAAUAUUGCAUUUAAUAAUCAUACAUGUCAUAAAGUAUUUAAUUUUUUUCAAAUGACUGAUUUUAUAACAAAUGUGUGUUUUACUUUUAAAUAAGUUUAAUCAAUAUCAGUAUUUUAUAUAAUUAUUUGGAUUUAUAUAUUUAUUUGAGAUGGAGAGAUGGACAUAUGUAUUACAUGAAAAUUGCGGCAUUUAGGUAAACAUGAAGUUUAUCUGGUAUAGAUAAACCGACAAUUGAAAUCAAAAAUUGACUAAACUUUAGAAAAAAACUCUUUUUAAAAACAACUAAUGCGUUAUGUUAAACGUUCUGUAAUGAACAUACUUUGUUUGUUUGAUUUUUUUGCAAUGUUUGCCGUAUAAUUGUUUUAGUCAUUUAUUUGUAACAUGUGUACACAAUAAGGUAUGCUUUGUCUGUUCCAAUACAAAAGUGAUCUUGCUACUUCAGUAAUAAUAUAUUUACAUAUAGCUGCUUAGAAAUUCAGAAUAGUAAUCUGGGCCACCGUGGCCAAGUUUUUAAUUUUAUUUACUUCAAACCUUUUGCUUCUUGCCUCUAUGCGACCUCCGCUGGGUGCAUUAUGUGGGAUAGCCAUAAAAAGGACUUUCGGAAGGUCGAUGGUUUCCCGAAAUGCUCUACUAGAAGUAUACAAAAAACAUUUUUUGUGAUUGCUACAUUUUUAAAAAAAACACUGGAAUCCUUGCCAAAACAGGGCGGAGCUUCUUGAACUUUGUUCCUCCUUUAUAGACUACAUAAAUGCUAGUCUGACAAAUACAGUCCAAAUAAACCUGAGGUGGGUUUUCGUAAGAAGUCUUUAAUGAAUACUGUUUAACUGUUGUAAAAUGGCUGAUGUAAAUUUAUCUAAAGACAAAGAACUAUUUGAAACGACCGUACACUCAAGAUUUUGCAACUGUGAUAAAGAAUGUGGGAUUUUAAUACUGAUUUGUCGUUGCGGUUUUAUCAAAAAAUUUAUUCCUAAACGAAUAAAAGGGUGUAGACAUACUUCAUCUGAAUGUUGCCUUGUGAAAGUUGGAAAUACAUUCAAGGUUCAUUGCAAAUGUCCGAGAGACCAACCAACCUAUAGACGCUAAAGACGUAAGAAACAAAAGAAGCAAAGUCAUCAUCGAAGUCUACAUCAAAAGAAAUCAAAAACAGUUUAACAGAAAACAAGUUAUACGUAAAUUUGUCUUGCUGUGAUACGUUUAGCAUUAAUUUAUUAUAUCUGCACAAUAGACCAAGAAAAUGUUAAAAUGCCUUUUGGACCUUUAUCAAAGGAGAAACCGCGGGAUAAAAGAGUGAUAUAUUUCAACCAGUUAUUUCCUUAUCUGGCAAAGAUAGGUGGAGAUCUAUGUAAUAUUAAUCUUAAUAUUUUAUUGAAAAGUGUAAUGUAAAUAUAUAUAAAUAAUGAACAUUAUAUUGAUAUUUAUUUGUAAACUAAAACAAAAAAAAAAAGAAACAAAAGAUAUCUAAGGUCUAAACAAAACAGUAACGACUGAGAAGAGAACGAGUUAUCGAACACUUUAUAUUCAAUAAAAUGUGUGCAAAUGAACUCAACAUCGCCCUUAUUUUCAAAAUAUAUGACCGAGAGGUGCAUUAGAGUGUGAUCAUGUAUAUCUUUGUUCCUGUACAGACAAAUUAAAACGUGCAUUAACAUGCUGACUAUCUUACUAUUGUUAAUAUACCAACGUUUAGAAAUGUUAUAAUUGCAAAAUUAAGGUUAAAAAUCGAUAAGUACUGGCCGCCAUAGAAACAUUGUAAAGAAUCGCCGCCCUUGCAUUUAUGUAUUUUAUUUGUAUUUUUUCGACAUAUGACGAUAUUAAAAGGUUAUCACUCUAAAAAUGUGUAUGUUUGAUGUGACACAUUAUGUUUUGUAAAAUUGUGACUGUCAUAUACAUUUAUGUCAUUUCGAUAUGCUGUAUGCUUAAUUCAAAACAAAACUUCUGUUCUGUUCUUUUUGUUAUUUGUUUUGUAGUGACAAGGUAAGCUUUUGUAAUUGCCCGUCGUCCGCCGACAAUUUCUCGUGAACACGAUAGAGAACACAUUUUGCAAUCGAUUUUAAUCAAACUUGCACACAACUUGUAUCGGCUUUUUCGGCCCUAAAGAGACUUUAUUCAUGAUACAAUAUAAACUUGCAAAACAUCUUUAACAAGAAUAGAUCUUUGAUUCCAUGGUGUAUCAGUCAGAUCCAAUCAUAGUUUCCGGAGUUACAGCCCCUGAUUGACUGACCCCCGAAAGAGCCAAAAUUUGUUAACCUUAUGAACACGGCAGAAGUGACAUUUUCAAAACUGGGUCAUGUUGGGUUAAAAAACUAGAUCAUCAGAUCGAAUAAAAUAAGUAGCUUGUUAACACCCUAGAGGCCACAUUAAUAACCCUGUCUUCAUGAAACUUGGUCAGACCGUUUUAUCCUAGUAAUUCCUGUGUCAAAUUUAAUACUAGAUUCUAUGGGGUCAAAAACUAGUCUUCCCAGUCAAAUCACAGAGAAAGCUUGUUAAUACUCCUAUUUUCAUGAAACCUGGUAAGAAUGUUUAUCUUGAUGAUUCCUAGGCCAAAAUCAUGUGGGGUCAAAAAACAAGGUCACCCGUUCAAACCAAAGGAAAAACUUGUUAAUCCUCUAUUUUUUCAUAGACCUAUUUGAUUAUUGAAGCAAUUGCAAAGAAAUUUGAACCACAAGUAUAAUGUUCCCUUUGUGUGUUAAUCCUUGUUCUGCUUUCCCCUUCGGCUUCCUGCCCGACCCCACCCCACCCACCUCCAUUUUAACCCUAACCACUCCCCCACUCCUCUAUCUAUAUACUUGGCAUUAUUUAAUAUGUACUAGUUAGAUUUUUGAAGCCAAUCGUCUGUAAUUAUCCCAUUACAGCUUCUUUCUGUUGUAGACCUACUUUGCAAAGGCGUGGCUCUGAGACUGUGUUUUUGGUGCUCUGUGUUUCCGAAAAAUCUACCCUCACCUAUUACCUAUUAAAAUAGAUUUGUUUUCAAUGCUUAUCUUAAUCGUGACCUUCUGGCCUACAUUUUCGUUUCUGAAGGUACAGCAUAGCAACUGAAUCCACAUGCAUAUUGUCUUACACAGAUUUCUGUACCCAUCUUGGAUAGUCUUAAUCAUGACCUACUUGGCCUACUUUCUUGUUUUUGAAGGUACAGCAUAGAAAUUUGGACCACAUUUAUAACUUUUGAUACAGGUUUCAAUGCUCAUUUUAAGUAUUAUUAACCCUGACCAACUGACUUACUUUCUAGUUUUUGAAGCUACAGCAAAUUGGCUUUGACCUCCUGGAUAACUUUUGAUGCAUAUUUCAAUACUUACCUUAAGUAGUUUUUGUCAGGACCUACUGACUUCAACUUACCUUCUUGAUUUUGAAGUUACAGCAAAGAAAUUCGGACCACACGUAAAACGUUUGAUACAGAUUUUAAAACGUAUCUUGAACAGUCUUAAACAUGACCCACUGACCUAUUUUCUUGUUAUUACAGUUUCUGCAUAGAAAUCUGGCCCACAUGUGUAACUUUUGCUUCGUAUUUCAAUACUUAUCUUUAAUAUUCUUAACCCUGACUUGCUGACCUACUUUCUUGUUUUUGAAAAUAUAGAGAAGAUAUUUGGGCUAACUGUAUGUUCUUAAUAGAUUUCAGUAAUUACAUUCAAUAAUCUUAAUCAUGACCAGCUCACUUUGUUUUGUUUUUGAAUUUGUUCAAGCAACCCACUAAACUCAGGUGAGCGAUAUAGGACCAUCACGUCUCUCUAGUUUGUGUUAAUUUUUUUUAUUUGAUUCCAAAUUUUACUUUAUAUCCUCACUCUCUUCAAGUUCAUUACGUAUUAAAUCGACAAUAUUUCUUAAAUAAACUAAACCACGCCUUUUUUACUUUCACGGAUUCUGUUUCCCAUUUCAUUGGCCAAUACAUUUAUGUCUUUCGUUUGUACAUAUAUUAUUGGGGCGUGAAGGUGGCUGCAAAGCCAAUGUUUGAAAAAAAGAUUUUUUGGUGAAACGGAUGAUCCGACUUUAUUGCAACUGUUUAAAGGUAAGCGCAGAUUUUCAAGAAAAACAAGAGUACCCCAAACACCGCGAUAGUGCCACAUAUUGCAAUGUAUGCCCGUGACAAAAAGUAAAACUGUAAGGGAAAAUAUAUAGCAGAAAUACAAAAACGGGUAAGGAGUACAUAAAUGGGUGGGUUGGUUGUAGGGAAAAGUUGAAAAAGCAAUAUUCAAGACGCUACACAUUUACACAGUUUCUUUACAUCGCUAAUCACAUCAGCACAAAAACGCACGUACAUAAGACGAACACACACACUUAGACACACAGAUAUAUGUUACAAAACUAAUAUCGUGUAAUAUACGCUUACUGAAUGGCUUGCCGGUUAAUAAUUCUGUGCUAUACACGUUAUAUAUUACAUUCUAAAAAUAUAAAACGGGUAAAUGCGGUUUAAUCAGUCAUAUACCUUAAUACGUGAUAGGGUUUUAUAAGUUUUGUGUUUUACACUGCAACGUUUGUUCUGCCUCAUUAAUGCGUGAAGACGUCAAAGGCUUUCGCGACGUUCUUGUUACGUCUCUAAACGCUUUUGUUAAUUUAUCUUAAAGCAUUAGUUAAUGAAAAUGGCUUCUUCUGUUUCUUUUUUCACUUUAUUCGACAAAGUCUUGCGCAGUUUAUCAUAUUUGGUUUAUGGUACAGAAACGUAGUAAUAGAUAUCGUUCCAGGAUACGCGUUUCUAUUUUUACUGUGCAUUUCACGAAUGGAAAUACCAAAUAUGAUAGGUCUAAUUUCAGAAAAAUAUUGCCAAACAUUAGGCCUUUAGAUAAAGUGAUAUCCAAUUUGAUAAAGAAAAUUCAAUACCUUUUUGAGAGAUAUAUAGGUCAUUGAUAAUGUAGUGCUACAAUGAGGUUAUCAAACGGUUCAAAAGCCUUUUUAUAACAACACCUGAAUGAACUUGUAUUUCAAAGCAGUACAAUGAUCUAAAUGUUGUUUCACGGAACCUUUUUAGCAAGGCUAACUUGAAAUAAGUCGUUACUUUAGAUGUAGCCAGACCAUGACUAAAAAUGAAACAAAAUAUGGUGACCACCUACCGGAUAUCGAUGCUUUUAAAAAGCGAUAUCAAACACAUUCGCAUAUAUGCAAUAUAUGUUACGUUUUGAGUAAAUAGUACUAUGGACAGAUAGUAAACGACGUGGUAUCCAUACGUUACUUGAAACCACUGUAAACGUGCUCUUUUCUAACGUGCGGUAGCACAAGUGCAGAACAUUUAAUCUACAAUUACUUGCAAACGGAGUGACCUUGACCUUGGAACAUGAGAUAUCUCGCUAUUUAUCUGUUGCACAACUUUGAAACGGCAUAUAAAAAGCCUGUCAUAACAUAACAGUUUGGAAAAAACUAUUUGUUCAGUAAUAUAAAGACUCAUAAAAGACUUAUUACGGCGGGCAAAUAUAUAAGCACGAAUGAACCAAACCUGUUCUGGAAAUCUUUAUCAUUCAUUUAUAGGUAUUAUUGAUCGAUACCAGCAUACGCAACCUGGGAACACAGAACACGGAUAAAGAGUAAAAUUAUGUAUCGUCUAAAAACAGCAGGCCAAUGGCAAGGCGUUACUAUUUUUAAAGAAAACACUGGUAUAUAAAGAAACAACGUGAUAGAGAAGAUAUAUUUAUACCCUUUAGAAAUUUACUUAAUGAUAGUCGUCAGUAUGGGUGAUGUUAACGCUACGAAAAUCUUUCUUGGAAUUGUGAUGGUGGUGUUUUUUCCAAUUACACUUACGUACCUUUUGAUCAGGUACAUAUUUCGCGACAACAAUGACAAAUAUCCGAGAGAAGUUCCGCAGGACAGAAGAGUCUAAAAUAGUUUAAAACGUGAUCGCCAAAUUAAUAUUUGCCAGGGAUAAUGAAUUUGUAUCUACAGUGUCGUAAAUUUUAACAUUCUUUGUAAUCGACGGUACCCUUAGUAGUACGCGGUGGAAAUAAAUAAACCGAAAGAAACUAGAAUAAAAAGAUGUGCAAAAUAAUGUGCAAAGAAAGUUUCAAAACUCAGAAAGGGUGAAGAAGCCAUGUCACUUUAACCAAAACCACAGCCAACGAGACAAACAAUGAAAGUUGACAGCGGCAGAUUUCGUUCUAAUGUGUUUCUUACAUGUCAGCCUAAAUGCAUUAAAGCAUUAUCUUGAAAGAAUAAGCUUUCAUUGAACCGAUUGUGUCAAUAUUAUUUGCUUAUCUUAAAGUACCGACUAAUACAAACAAACUGAAUACAAUUAGGAAUAUUUUAAAAAAGCAUUUAAAUUUAUUUACGUUAUUUGGUAACAACAUUACGUGAACCAUUUUAAGAAAAUAAAUAUCGGUCAAAUGUAGGCGGGCAGUCAACACGACGGUCAUUCGUCUAGCCGCAGGGUACCUGUGCUAUUUUCAGGAACAACGUGCAUAAAGUACAAAAACAAAACAAAAAAACAUCAAAACAGUUCAGUAACUUCAAAUGCUCUUUUCAAUUUGGCGACACACAUUUCAAAUAUGUUUCAAUUAUUAUUUUUAAGCAAUUUUUGAAAUGAACAAUGGGUUGGAUAAAGCUGUAUCACAUGGAUCAACAAACAAAUAUUGAAACAUUUUAAUCAGCAUGGUGUUGGACGCAGCCUAUGAAACUGAUGUAUAGAUAAAUGAAACUACAACACUUUAUCAGACAAUGUGAUACUGGACAUUGCUUAAAUAUUACACAAAAACAUUGAAGAAACUGUGCCAUUUUAUCAAACAUGAUUAUUUUUCCAUUUUCUCGUGAAUCAAACAUGUGUUUACGUAAGAAAAUGCAUUACGAUUCUAUUUCUUGUUUACAGUUAAUCGUAUUGUAACCAUGUUUUAUUUGCAUAUUUUGUUUCAUUUAUGUUGUUCCAUAGUACAUUUAGUCAUUUCUCUGUUAAUAAACAUGUAACGAAGUUAGGGUGAUGUUUGACUGUUACUUUUCCUUCCAUAAAGAUUUAUCUUAUUUAUAGAACUUCGUUUUGAAGUUUUGGAAGUCAUUGUCAUGACAAGGUUCUAUGGUUCCUUCAUUAGUGUAAGCUUGAUUCAACGAAUUAUUUUGUAUAAAUUACAGGUGAACAACUAUUAUACUUAAUGCAUAUAUUAAAUAAUUAAGGAUCAUGUUGUUACAGCUUUACCUACUGCGAAGCUUAAUGAUAACAAGGUAUCUAGAACGAAUAAAUAUUGAUGGCAAUAGAGCUAUUUUAAUAACGACUAAGAAGAAUCAAAAAGAAACCUCUCAAAUUUGGUUUCUCUCCUGCAAGUUAUAUUUAACAGAGGUGUUAAAUUGUUUGAAACAAGGUAUAUGUCCAAAUUUUAGUCAAAUGUUUGAAAGACUUUGCAUUUAAGUCCGUACAGGUCUACUAGCACCAGUAGAAAGACUGAUGCGAGGCAACCGUUGCACUUUCAUUUCUAUUGUUGUACCGAGUUUGUUUUUAUUCUGUUGUCUAUAUAUAUAUAUAUAUAUUGUCACAGAUUACUAUACAACAGCAGUUUUCUAGUGUCAUGUGGUUACAGUAAAAUGUCUCUUAAUACUGGGAUACUGCUAUGUUUUCUGACCCUUUGGGAGUGUGUGGAAUCCAGUCAAAAUAUAUUAUGUAUUACAUACAGAAUUUCAUUAAAGCCGGUAACAUAUAUUAUAUAUAAUAUUAUACCAGAUUUAUAUAGAGCCCUUUUCAUGAUCAAUUUCACAGCCACACAAGGGCGCAUAAUUCAUCCCACAAACACAGAGCGAUCUGACCAGAGGGACAGAGUGAGACAAAGCCCCCACGACAGAGAGAUCAGAAAUCAUAUACAGGCUUGUCCGGCUAACUUAGCCUAGCUUGUUUCAAAUAGACAGCCUGGUUCUUUAACGUGCCCAGUGUAUACACGCAAGGAUUGCCUGGGUUCCUGACCAGUACACCUCUAGUUGGGUGGGAAACACUGGAAAGUGUUUCUGAGAAUUCCCGAGUAGUUGCCGCGGAUCGAACCCCGACCUCAGGAUUGGAAGGCCAGUGUGGAAACCACUGAGCUAUCCGUCUAGCCAUAUAGAAGGUUUGAGGAGUAUUCCACUUCAGACUGAAUUUAAUUGAGUCUUCUAUUAUUUAUGUUGUUUGCAUGCUAUGCUUAAGGGAUUUUCUAAAGGUUUUAUCAAAAGUUAUUUCUAGUUAUUUGGUCAUACAUAUAUAAACUACUGAAGGGUUUUGUUUUGGGGCAGCUGUGUUCUUGCACUACAUAUUAAAGCUUAAGUUAACAUGAUUGGUCAAAUAUUUCCUAUCAUAUCCAUAUCAAUAACGAGUGACUUCAGGCGAAAAAAGGGACAAUGAAUCUUGCUUUUAAUCUUUUACAUUUAACUGUUUCCUUAAUCGAGGUAUAUCAAAAUACGUUUAAUAUGCAUAUUCUUUACAAUCAAUUAUGGUUCGUAUAAUACAUUACCCUAUGUUGGUUAUAACGUAUAUACUUGGCUCAGACUUAUUCAGUAAAAUACAUCAGCCCCCUAAAAGAUAUAUACAGACAUAAAAAUAGAUUUUAUCACCAUGAAUGAAAAUUGUAAAUUUAACGAACUUUACUUUAAUAAAACCAUCUAAAUGCUACAAUAUAGAUUGACAUGCGUAUAUGGGUUCGUGACCUACAUAUAGACCACAACAGCAUAUUAAAUAUUAUAAUGGAAAAGGACCGUAUUAAAUAUUAACGUUAACAGAACGAACUUUCAUUAUUUGAUGCAUUUUAUUAUUUGGCUACGAACAGCUUUAAAACACUCAAUAAUAAUUGUAUAUCUUCGAAAAUAAAUUACUCUAACGAGAGUUCUCCCAAAUAAUUUAUCUGUAACGUCUGUGUUAUUCAAACAAUAGACUUUAUCCAGUUUUCAAGGAUAGGUUAAAUCGUUAAAAUUGAUAUGACGCCUGGUGAGUCACAUAGGAACUUGGGAACCCAAUAUUUUUCAUGCUACGUGUCAAAUAGCCAAUGCUUACAAUAACUUUGGUUGUAAAGACUAAUCCUAUUAUCAAGAUAUUUAAGUUAAGAAAAACAAAACUUUCCAGAAAUAUCACCGACAAGAACAAUCCGUAUGACCAUUUUGUUGCGCAAUUCGUUUGACAUGUACCUGAUUUUGUAUCGGAAGAAAAUAACAUUGCAUUAAAGAAUGAAUACAUACGCCCACUCCCCUAUACUUACGCAUGUCAUAUAGUAGAUAGCCGAUCAACAUAUUCUUUUUCAACUGACUGACUUUAUACAAUAACGAUUUAUUAGUUAGAAAUACGUUUAAUCAAUAUUGAUAGGAACAAAACUUUAGUAUCAACUAGUCCCCACUUUGGUUCUAACACAUGUAAUUUGUAAUUACGUAUAUGUUUUAUCAGAAUGGAGAGAUAGACAUAUGCAUGGUCACAUAAAAAGUACGACAUAUAAAUAAACUUGAUAUUUUUCCAGUUGAAAUUAGUUGCCAAAAGAAAUCAAAUAUUGACCCAAUAAUUUUCUCUUUGUAUCAGCAACUAUUGAGUAAUGUUACUAUUUCUGCAAUAAAUAUGCUUUGUUAAAAUGAUUUGUUACAAUAAUGUUUGUCUUUUAACUGCUCCGUCAUUUCUGUGUAACAAUAUAACACGAGUUCACAACAAUAUUUAUCUGUUUCAAUACUUAAAAGAUGUCCUUGCUCCUUUCGUAAUAAUUUAUCUGCAAAGCAGAUUAAAAAUUCAGAUUAAUCGUCAAGGCCACCGUUCUCGAGUAGGUAAGUUCACUGGCUUCAAAACUCCGACCAAUAUAGCUGCCUAAUGAUGCUUAAGAAUACUUAAUCUAAACGUAUGUGGAUAGUCUAUUGUUGUAACGUCCUCCUUUUAAGAAAAAAACUGUGUCCUUGCAAAGAAACGGAUGCAACUUCUUGAACUUAACUCCUCCCUCCCAUACAAGCCAUAUAAAUGCUGAUGUGACAUGCCAUUUCAAAAUAAAACAAGAGUAGGUCUGCGACAGGAGGUAUUCAUAAAUAUUGCUCAGUUUAAAGUUGCUGUAAAAUGGCUGACGUGAAUGUAACUGAGGAUGAAAAUAUAUUUGAAACGGGUGAUGAACAUGGUGAUGGUUGCUAUAGUACAAAGGAAAAUGGAAUUUUGAUACUAGUUUGUUAUUGCAGUAUUUUUAAGUGGACAAAACGAGGACGUAAAAUACAUGUUUCAUCGUCCUGUAAACUUAUGAAAGUUGAAGGAAACAAGUUCAGGGUACACUGCGCUUGUGCGAGAGAUCGACCAGUUUAUAGACGCUAGUAAUAUGAAAGAAAUACAGUGAACCUUAAAAGGAUCAUUAUGACAUCGCCGAAGUUUACACCAAAACAUAUUGUUUUAUAUGUUUACACAGAACAUUCUUUUCCUAUUCUUGUAUGAUAUGUGCUAUAAUAAUUAUGUGUCCCAUUUCAUUGUUAAAUGUAAAAUAUGUUAGUAUGAAUUAGUAUUGAAGAAAGUGUGUUUGUAUUUCAAAAUAAACGCAGUACCACAAUUUGCUGUAGUAUCGUUAAGCAACAGUACCAACAGAAUAGACAUGUACCUAUCAGCCAAAUUUAUAUGUAAAUUACA